UGAUGGAGGGGGAUAACUACUGGAAACGGUAGCUAAUACCGCAUAACGUCGCAAGACCAAAGAGGGGGACCUUCGGGCCUCUUGCCAUCGGAUGUGCCCAGAUGGGAUUAGCUAGUAGGUGGGGUAACGGCUCACCUAGGCGACGAUCCCUAGCUGGUCUGAGAGGAUGACCAGCCACACUGGAACUGAGACACGGUCCAGACUCCUACGGGAGGCAGCAGUGGGGAAUAUUGCACAAUGGGCGCAAGCCUGAUG
rnacentral:rRNA from 1 species